rnacentral:rRNA from 1 species
AGCUCCACGAGUCGUGCGCAAAAAUUGUUGCGGUUGCAAAGCUCGUAGUCGGAUUUCUGCAAAAAUUUGACGGCCUGCUUGCUUCUAUGCAUGUGGGAUCAGUUUACAAUUUUUGCAUCCUCUCACAAACUGCUCUGGCCUUCGUUGGUUGGAGUCUCAGGGCGUGGGACUUUUACUUUGAGAAAAACAGAGUGUUCAAAGCAGGCAAUUGCAAUUUGAAUGAGUUAGCAUGGGAUAAUGAGAUAGGACUCUUGUUCUAUUUUGUUGGUUGUUCGAGAUCAAGAGUAAUGAUUGAUGGGGAUGGGUGGGGGCAUCGGUAUUCUAGAGCGAGUGGUGAAAUACUUAGACCUCUGGAAGACCAACUACUGCGAAAGCAUUUGCCAAGAACAUACCUUUCGAU